GUCUACGGCCAUGCCACCUUGAACGAGCCUGAUCCCGUCUGAUCUCGGAAGCUAAGCAAGGUCAGGCCUGAUUAGUACUUGGAUGGGAGACUACCUAGGAAGACCUGGUGCUGCAGGUG
rfam:Pteropus alecto contig85672, whole genome shotgun sequence.